rnacentral:rRNA from 1 species
UCAGGCCUAACACAUGCAAGUCGAGCGGUAACAUGUUUCUCACCUUGGUACUAACUAGUAAUAGUUGGUGCUGAAGUGAGAAAUGAUGACGAGCGGCGGACGGCUGAGUAACGCGUGGGAACAUGCCCCAAAGUGAGGAAUAAGCUCCAGAAAUGGAGUCUAAUGCCGCAUAUGAUCUUCGGAUUAAAGGAUUUAUCCGCUUUGGGAGUGGCCUGCGUACGAUUAGAUAGUUGGUGAGGUAAUGGCUUACCAAGUCUACGAUCGUUAGCUGGUCUGAGAGGAUGACCAGCCAGACUGGAACUGAGACACGGUCCAGACUCCUACGGGAGGCAGCAGUGAGGAAUCUUCCACAAUGGGCGAAAGCCUGAUGGAGCAACGCCGCGUGCAGGAUGAAGGCCCUCGGGUCGUAAACUGCUUUUAUAAGUGAAGAAUAUGACGGUAACUUAUGAAUAAGCACCGGCUUUCUACGUGCCAGCAGCCGCGGUAAU